rnacentral:rRNA from 1 species
GAUGAACGCUGGCGGCGUGCCUAAUACAUGCAAGUCGAGCGAACGGACGAGAAGCUUGCUUCUCUGAUGUUAGCGGCGGACGGGUGAGUAACACGUGGAUAACCUACCUAUAAGACUGGGAUAACUUCGGGAAACCGGAGCUAAUACCGGAUAAUAUUUUGAACCGCAUGGUUCAAAAGUGAAAGACGGUCUUGCUGUCACUUAUAGAUGGAUCCGCGCUGCAUUAGCUAGUUGGUAAGGUAACGGCUUACCAAGGCAACGAUGCAUAGCCGACCUGAGAGGGUGAUCGGCCACACUGGAACUGAGACACGGUCCAGACUCCUACGGGAGGCAGCAGUAGGGAAUCUUCCGCAAUGGGCGAAAGCCUGACGGAGCAACGCCGCGUGAGUGAUGAAGGUCUUCGGAUCGUAAAACUCUGUUAUUAGGGAAGAACAUAUGUGUAAGUAACUGUGCGCAUCUUGACGGUACCUAAUCAGAAAGCCACGGCUAACUACGUGCCAGCAGCCGCGGUAAUACGUAGGUGGCAAGCGUUAUCCGGAAUUAUUGGGCGUAAAGCGCGCGUAGGCGGUUUUUUAAGUCUGAUGUGAAAGCCCACGGCUCAACCGUGGAGGGUCAUUGGAAACUGGAAAACUUGAGUGCAGAAGAGGAAAGUGGAAUUCCAUGUGUAGCGGUGAAAUGCGCAGAGAUAUGGAGGAACACCAGUGGCGAAGGCGACUUUCUGGUCUGUAACUGACGCUGAUGUGCGAAAGCGUGGGGAUCAAACAGGAUUAGAUACCCUGGUAGUCCACGCCGUAAACGAUGAGUGCUAAGUGUUAGGGGGUUUCCGCCCCUUAGUGCUGCAGCUAACGCAUUAAGCACUCCGCCUGGGGAGUACGACCGCAAGGUUGAAACUCAAAGGAAUUGACGGGGACCCGCACAAGCGGUGGAGCAUGUGGUUUAAUUCGAAGCAACACGAAGAACCUUACCAAAUCUUGACAUCCUUUGACAACUCUAGAGAUAGAGCUUUCCCCUUCGGGGGACAAAGUGACAGGUGGUGCAUGGUUGUCGUCAGCUCGUGUCGUGAGAUGUUGGGUUAAGUCCCGCAACGAGCGCAACCCUUAAGCUUAGUUGCCAUCAUUAAGUUGGGCACUCUAAGUUGACUGCCGGUGACAAACCGGAGGAAGGUGGGGAUGACGUCAAAUCAUCAUGCCCCUUAUGAUUUGGGCUACACACGUGCUACAAUGGACAAUACAAAGGGCAGCGAAACCGCGAGGUCAAGCAAAUCCCAUAAAGUUGUUCUCAGUUCGGAUUGUAGUCUGCAACUCGACUACAUGAAGCUGGAAUCGCUAGUAAUCGUAGAUCAGCAUGCUACGGUGAAUACGUUCCCGGGUCU